rnacentral:tRNA from 1 species
GCCUGGGUGGCUCAGUCGGUUAAGCAUCCGACUUCGGCUCAGAUCAUGAUCUCACAGUCUGUGGGUUCAAGCCCCGCAUCGGGCU